rnacentral:rRNA from 1 species
CAGCCGCCGCGGGAAUACGUAGGUGGCAAGCGUUGUCCGGAAUUAUUGGGCGUAAAGGGCCCGCAGGCGGUUUCUUAAGUCUGAUGUGAAAGCCCCCGGCUCAACCGGGGAGGGUCAUUGGAAACUGGGAAACUUGAGUGCAGAAGAGGAGAGUGGAAUUCCACGUGUAGCGGUGAAAUGCGUAGAGAUGUGGAGGAACACCAGUGGCGAAGGCGACUCUCUGGUCUGUAACUGACGCUGAGGAGCGAAAGCGUGGGGAGCGAACAGGAUUAGAGACCCCCGUAGUCCCUGUCUCUUAUAC